rnacentral:rRNA from 1 species
AGAAUCAACGCUGGCGGCGUGCCUAACACAUGCAAGUCGCACGAGAAAGGGGAGCAAUCCCUGAGUAAAGUGGCGCACGGGUGAGUAACACGUGAAUAAUCUACCUCCGAGUGGGGAAUAACUGAGAGAAAUCUUAGCUAAUACCGCAUAACACUUACGAGUCAAAGCAGCAAUGCGCUUGGAGAGGAGUUCGCGGCCGAUUAGUUAGUUGGCGGGGUAAUGGCCCACCAAGACGAUGAUCGGUAUCCGGCCUGAGAGGGCGCACGGACACACUGGAACUGAAACACGGUCCAGACUCCUACGGGAGGCAGCAGUGGGGAAUUUUGCGCAAUGGGGGAAACCCUGACGCAGCAACGCCGCGUGGAGGAUGAAGCCCCUUGGGGUGUAAACUCCUUUCGAUCGGGAAGAUAAUGACGGUACCGAUAUAAGAAGCCCCGGACUAACUUCGUGCCAGCAGCCGC